AGCAGCCGCGGUAAUUCCAGCUCCAAUAGCGUAUAUUAAAGUUGUUGCAGUUAAAAAGCUCGUAGUUGAAUUUCGAGACCGGCUUACUGGUCGUGCUAUUGUACGUACUGGUAUAAUCGGUUUCUCCUUUCUGACGAACUUUAAUGCCAUUAAUUUGGUGUUUUAGGGAAUCAGGACUGUUACUUUGAAAAAAUUAGAGUGUUUAAAGCAGGCUCACGCUUGAAUACAUUAGCAUGGAAUAACGGAAUAGGACGUUUGAUUCUAUUUUGUUGGUUUCUAGGAUCGACGUAAUGAUUAAUAGGGAUAGUUGGGGGCAUUAGUAUUCAAUUGUCAGAGGUGAAAUUCUUGGAUUUAUUGAAGACUAACUACUGCGAAAGCAUUUGCCAAGGAUGUUUUCAUUAAUCAAGAACGAAAGUUAGGGGAUCGAAGACGAUCAGAUACCGUCGUAGUCUUAACCAUAAACUAUGCCGACUAGGGAUCGGAUGAUGUUAAUUUUUUAAUGACUCAUUCGGCG
rnacentral:rRNA from 1 species